UGAUAUUUAUUUCACUCUUUUUCAACACCAAAUUCCGAUAUUCCAUUGACAAAGGGAAUCAAUUCGAUAACCAGAGUUCCAGACACCAUGCGUGUGCAAAGUCCGAAAUUAGUUUCUACGAAACUUACCGGACAGUCCCAAUGUUGUGUUGACUCCUGGUCUUCCCAACGUUGUGUUACCCAACAUACUUACAGUUGAGAACUCAAAAAGACCGAUUUAAGAAGAAAAUUUGUGCUCUUUUGGGCUGUCUAUGUAUGCAAGUCUAAUCUAAUAGCAAGCAAAAGGAGGAAGAAAUACAAGGAGCGUAAUGAGUUGGGGAUCGCUGUUCAAGCUUUUGGAUUUUCUCUCCUGGCCUUCAUUUACUCUACUUUUUCCAUUGUAUGCUUCAUUCUGGGCAGUGGAGAGCAGUUCCUACUCCAGAACUCAGCAAUGUUUGUCUUUCUGGGUGCUGUUUGCUCUGAUCAGAAUCGUGGAAUCUACGAUUUCAAAGAUUUUGGAUUGGCUUCCUUUCUGGCCUUAUGCCAAGGGCAUGGUGUGUGUAAUUUUGGUGAUACCUUACUUUGAUGGUGCUUCCUAUAUUUACCAGUAUUUAUUCCAAACUUGGUUUUCUGAGAAUUCAAGAAUAUGGAAUAUCUUGUGCAUGUCAAGGGAGAGUUUCAUUGAGCAGAGCAGCGUCAUUGACAUACCUCAUACAGAAAUUGAUGACGAACCUUUCCGUUGCCAAGAAACUUGUGAGCCGUGUCAUGACAACAAUGACAACUCUCGGCCAACUGGUCCAAGAAAAUUUCAGAAGGAGUGGAGCUGUUCUCUUUGUAUGGUGAGCACUUCCAGUGAGAAAUGUUUAAAGAAGCACCUCCAAGGUAAAAAACACAAGGCCAAGGAAGAGGAAAUAAUAUUGCAUGAACUGGAAACAAGGGCCAUUGACAAGUCUUCUUCUAGCUCUAGGUUGAAAAGAACCAGUAGCAUUAUUUUGCUUGGCAGCCUCAACCAAAUUGCAAAGGUUAAUUUUGGAAGAUGGGGUAAAUUCCUAAACCCAGCUGCCAGAUCAAUCAUAUUGUGCAAAUGGAGAAAGCCAGUGUUUGGAUGGACAAAAUUAAACACCGAUGGAUCCAUAGAUGGAGAGCAUAUUGGUUUCGGUGGUUUGCUCCGUGACCAUAAGGGCGAUCCAGUAUGUGCUUUUGUCUCUAAAGCUUAUCAAGAUGAUAUUUUCUUCGUUGAACUAUGGGCAAUAUGGAGAGGUCUUGUUCUUGCCUUGAGUCUUGGUAUCAAGGUAAUUUGGGUUGAGUCUGACUCAAUGAGUGUUGUGAAAACCAUCAACAGAGAGCAGGGUUAUGGUGCAAAGGCACACAACUGUUUGAAGAAUAUUUGGGCACUUCUCAAGAAGUUUGAUGAGUCUCGAGUUUCUCACACAUGGCGCGAAACUAAUAGAGCAGCUGAUUAUCUCUCUAAGAUGGUUCUUAGGGGAAGUGAUGUAGUGUUGUGGCCUGUCGAUUUCCCUCUUGGCCUCCAAAAUAUUAUCAUGGAUGAUGCUCAAGGAAGGAUAUAUCGAAGAAGGUAGCGAGCUACAAGUUCUGCUAAUCAAACAGAAGUACAAGGAGGACCGUAAAAUAGCUGGUUUAUGGCUAAUAGGAAGGCAGAGUAACCGGCAUUAAAUGGAAACUGGGGAUUGCACUGAAUUCAUCAAGCAUUACUGCCCUGCGAUGGUAUUGGCAAUUGGCAAAGUCAGGUGAACAACUUCAAGGUGCCUUCUGCUUGGAUGACAAAGGAACUUUGUGUCUUGAGCUAUUUUUUCAACUUGGUAGUCCAACAAGAGCUUACCAGUGGACCGGACCGUUGUACUAUAUUUAUUUUUCUUAGAUAUUGUAAAAUGUUUCUACAAAAAUUAUUCCAAAAGACCCAAGAGUUUCUAUUUU